rnacentral:rRNA from 1 species
CUACGGGAGGCUCCAGUGGGGAAUAUUGCACAAUGGGGGAAACCCUGAUGCAGCAACGCCGCGUGGAGGAUGACGCAUUUCGGUGUGUAAACUCCUUUUAUAUAGGAAGAUAAUGACGGUACUAUAUGAAUAAGCACCGGCUAACUCCGUGCCAGCAGCCGCGGUAAUACGGAGGGUGCAAGCGUUACUCGGAAUCACUGGGCGUAAAGCGCGCGCAGGCGGCCCCUUAAGUUGGAUGUGAAAGCCUACAGCUUAACCGUAGAACUGCAUCCAAAACUGGGGGGCUAGAGUCUGGGAGGGGAAGAUGGAAUUAGUUGUGUAGGGGUAAAAUCCGUAGAGAUAACUAGGAAUACCAAAAGCGAAGGCGAUCUUCUGGAACAGUACUGACGCUGAGGCGCGAAAGCGUGGGGAGCAAACAGGAUUAGAUACCCUAGUAGUC